rnacentral:sRNA from 1 species
CGGAGGCGCGGGGCGUGUCUCCUGUCAAAAGCCAUGCUCGGCAGGUCUGGGUACCGGGCGCUGCCCCUGGGGGAUUUUGACCGCUUCCAGCAGUCGAGCUUCGGCUUUCUGGGCUCGCAGAAGGGCUGCUUGUCCCCGGAGCGGGGCGGCGUGGGGACAGGGGCCGAUGCACCCCAGAGCUGGCCCUCCUGCCUCUGUCAUGGCCUCAUCAGUUUCCUGGGGUUCUUGCUGCUGUUGGUCACCUUCCCCAUUUCCGGCUGGUUUGCCCUGAAGGUAAGGCUGGCUGGGUCAGCCCCCAGGGUGGUUGGGCCACACUGAGAGCUUUGGCAUUGAUGAAUAAAUUUGCCUAUCCUCUGUCCCCUUGCCCUAAAUAUUACCCCUUUGUGUAAUGGGCUAGGCAAGAACCAUUCAUUCACAUUGGUCAGGGGAGGAAACUAAGGCUUGGGCUUGUCUAAAGUCAUACUGGGAGCCAGUAGGGGGUAGAAGCAAGUCCCAAACUCCUAAGUCCUGGGAUCUGGACACUGGCUUUAAGGUGCACGCAGAUGUCUUUGCCAAAUUAUCUUCUCUUUGGGUUAGAAUAAAUUAGAAAUGAAA